CGGUGAAAACGAAGGGAAACAUCGAUGUUGGAAGAAAGAGGAAGAGAGAGAGAGAGUAAAAAAAAGUUUCUUGAUUGACCGUCGGCGAACAGCAAUCGCGAAGAAUCGGGCCGAAUUCCGGGGUAAUUUAUUUAUUCGUUAAUUGAAUUGUCGCAAACGAGGGACUCGAGGGAAACGUAAUUUCUUUAUGUAUCGCCAUUAACGGAUUGCCGCCACUCGUCCAUGAAAAUUCAUCUCGCCCACGAAAAUGUUGUCAAGCGAGGUCGAGCGAGGAAUUCGGAUCGAAUAACUUUAUUCUUUUUUAUUCCAGCCGCCGUCGUAUAAUCUCGCUUCUCUUCUUGCUCGCGUACACUUGUUCCUCUUCUCGUACGACGACGACGUAUUGAAAUGCAGACACUGCGCAUCGACUCUCGGAUCGUUGGUCGCAUGCGACGACGGAUGGACCCAAGUGUCCCGAGAGGAAUCCCUUUGAAUCGCGGCGGGAAAUCGUUUCGCUCUCCCUCUCGACAAACACGGCAAAGGAGAGAAGUGGAUAUUUUCGCUCCUCGGCGGCUUCUUCCUUUGUGGAGCAGGAAGUGGGAUCCCCUCUUUCGAUCGUAACGGUCCAAGUUUGAGAAUCGAGAUUGAAAAUCACGCCGAGUUUCGAGUGUUCGAGAGGCAUAAUAUCAUCGAGAUUAUCGAGAACAGGGGAAAUGAUGAUGACGAUGAUCGACGAACGGUGGAUAUUUCGUAUACGAUGAGAUUGUGCGGGGAAUUUUUCUUUUUUUCUUCGUAUUUUGAGAGACUACACACAAGUUUCGAACACGUUAAUUUAACGCGAGAAGAGGUGGAAGGCUAAGGUGGUUGGAACGGAUAUCGUAAAUAUAUUGUAAACGGGACGAGACGGAGGGAACUCGUUAAAGAACUCGUCGCGAUUCCUCGACGAUGCUUGAGUCCGUGGAGAAAUUCUUUCGUUCGAUACGUAAAUACGAUUACGAAUAAUAUAAAAAAGCCAUGAUAAGGGGAAACGUAUCGAUUUCAUAAAAGGAAACAUGGACACGAGAUCUCGCGUGAUUCCAUUCUGUCGCGACGAUACGUUUUACAUUUUUUUGCAAAAAAAAAAAUAAAAAAAUAACGUUGGAAAAAAAUAACGGAGAACGAUUCCUUGUCCUAAGUAAAUAGCAUUUUUAAUAAAUGAAGAUUAAUUAGAAAAUACUACGAUAUUUAGAAAAAUUUAUGGUUUCAUCAAUGGGCACGCGAAAUGGGUUCUUAAAUUGUUAAAUUAUCGGCCCGAUGAUCAUCGACGGGAACACGUGUCGAAUGCUUAAUAAUAAUAAAACUGAACCCAGAAACUUUGCUAAUCAACCCUUUAGCUCGAACUCUACUUUUCACCGAGUUUUGAGAGAUUCUCCGUUUUACGAUUCUUCGUUUAAGAAAUCGCGGCUGACAGCUAAUCGCCCUACUCUCUCGGUUCGCUCCGUUUUUUCCCGUGCAACGCAUAAAACAGGGAGAAAAAUAUUUAUACAAAACGAUUCGAUACCCUGUAUUAUUCAUUCGGGGGGGUAUAUCUCAAUCGAUAAACCAUCGGGAGGCAACGUAUCGGAAACUCAUCUUAACCCCCGCCAGUUUGCAUUAUUCAAGUACGGUUUUAAUCGUUAUUCGAGUUGUUGAAUUUAAAAAGGGAAGGGAAAAGGAAAUAUUUAAUAACGAUUUAUAUAACGAAUCAACGUUUGUCAAGUGAAAUCGAAUCGAAUCGAAUAUUGACAUUAUAUCGCGGAUCGGGUAAAUUAUUCCAUCUGAUGAUAUACAGUCUCUCCUCUUUGCAUUAAUCUCCCCUUUGUCUCUCUUUCCCUCUUUCCAUCGUCCAAGAUGGAAGAAACUGGGCAUACCUCGCGUCAUUGUGUCACGUUCUGCGAAUUUCAAAUUCCAUUCUUAACGAUGAAAGAAGAAGAAGAAGAAGAAUAAAAAGAAGUGGAAAGUUUUCCAGGCUAAAUAAAAACCUAUUAAA